AACCAACAACAGCAGGAAAAAUAUAAAAUAAAAGAAAAUGGGAAAAAAAUACGUGUUGUUGUUGUUGUUGGUGUGCCUUGUUGUGGCUGCGGGUGUUUGUGUUGAGGCGGAGGAAUACACCGAUUUGCAAAAGGAUUGCUUCAGUCACUGCUGGCAUGGUUGCUUUUUCCCCACAUCAUUCUGCGAUGCCUGGUGUGCUACAGCCUGCAGAUACCCAAUCAAUAUGGGUUUAUGAAAAUGAGCAGUAGAAAGUAAACUUGAUGAUCAAAAUUUUGAGAAGCUGACAGUGGCAACUUCCAGUGGAUUGAAAAUAUUGAGGAUUUCACAUAAAGAUGAUAGGCUGUACCAACUAAGGAAGAUGACUUACGCGCCUCAGCGCUGUCACCCAAAGCCCCAACAAUAUCUAAAUGAAGGCUUUCCGGCGAAGGACAUUACCAUGAUUACUCGGAAAACUUUCUCAUCAAUUUGGCCAUUGCAUUUUGAUUCACUUUUUCCUCCUUCCCUCUCCUUUUUUUCCAUAAUCAUAAUAAUAUCAUAUCAAAUUCUUUUUUCCAUUAUUCUCGUUUCUUCUUUCCUUACUACUUCUU